rnacentral:rRNA from 1 species
CACCUUUAUACUGUGAAACUGCGUACAGCUCNNNAAAUCNNUCNNUAUNUAUUUGANGGNNUCUUNNUACUNGGANACCCGUAGUAAUUNUAGAGNUAAUACANGCANAAAAACCCNNACUNUCNGGANNGGGNGUNUNUNUUNGAUAAAAAACCNNNNNNNNNNNNNNNNNNNNNNNNNNNNNNNNUAGGGUUUUGGUGAUUCAUAGUAACUGAUCGAAUCGCAUGGCCUUGUGCUGGCGAUAGUUCAUUCAAAUUUCUGCCCUAUCAGCUUUCGACGGUAGUGUAGUGGACUACCGUGGCGUUAACGGGUGACGGAGAAUUAGGGUUCGAUUCCGGAGAGGGAGCCUGAGAAAUGGCUACCACAUCCAAGGAAGGCAGCAGGCGCGCAAAUUCCCCAAUCCUGACACAGGGAGGUAGUGMCAAUAAAUAACAAUACUGGGCCUUCUCAGGUCUGGUAAUUGGAAUGAGUACAAUUUAAAUCCCUUAACAAGGAUCCNUUGGAGGGCAAGUCUGGUGCCAGCAGCCGCGGUAAUUCCAGCUCCAAUAGCGUAUAUUAAAAUUGUUGCAGUUAAAAAGCUCGUAGUUGGAUUUCUGAUAUGGUACACUGGGCCAGUCUCGGUUACGGGGCGCGUGCCUAUGUAUACCUAUCAUUCUUUCUAGUUAGUAUGUAGCGGUUUUUCCCUUUACUGGGUUGACCAUUACAGAACACUAGAUCGUUUACUUUGAAAAAAUUAGAGUGUUUAAAGCAGGCUUGUCGCUAUGAAUAAAUUAGCAUGGAAUAAUAAUUUAGGACUUUGGUCUUAUUUUGUUGGUUUCAGGGACUAAAGUAAUGAUUGAUAGGGACAGUUGGGGGUGCUAGUAUUCAGCGGCCAGAGGUGAAAUUCUUGGAUUCGCUGAAGACUAACUUAUGCGAAAGCNUUCNCCAAGGAUGUCUUCUUUAAUCAAGAACGAAAGUUGGGGGAUCGAAGACGAUCAGAUACCGUCGUAGUCUCAACCAUAAACUAUGCCGACUAGGGAUGAGUGAACGUUGUUUUUAUUCGACUUCAUUCGCNCCUUAUGAGAAAUUAAAGUCUUUGGGUUCCGGGGGGAGUAUGGUCGCAAGGCUGAAACUUAAAGGAAUUGACGGAAGGGCACACCAGGAGUGGAGCCUNCGGCUUAAUUUGACUCAACACGGGAAAACUUACCAGGUCCAGACAUAAUAAGGAUUGACNNNNNNNNNNNNNNNNNUUCUUGAUUUAUGGGUGGUGGUGCAUGGCCGUUCUUAGUUGGUGGAGUGAUUUGUCUGGUUAAUUCCGUUAACGAACGAGACCUCGACCUGCUAAAUAGUUUAAUGAAUUCUUCGGGAUUCAAAUGAUUACUUCUUAGAGGGACUAUCGGUGAUUUAGCCGAUGGAAGUUCGAGGCAAUAACAGGUCUGUGAUGCCCUUAGAUGUCCUGGGCCGCACGCGCGCUACACUGAUACGUUCAUCGAGCUUACAACCUUGUCUGAAAGGACUGGGUAAUCUUUUUAAAUUGUAUCGNGCUGGGGAUAGAUUAUUGUAAUUUUUAAUCUUCAACGAGGAAUUCCUAGUAAACGCUGUUCAUCAAACAGCAUUGAUUACGUCCCUGCCCUUUGUACACACCGCCCGUCGCUACUACCGAUUGAAUGGCUUAGUGAGUUUCAGGGAUUGAUGCAAUGUAAAGGUUCGCCUUUUCAUUGCAUCCGAGAACUGAAUCAAACUUGAUCAUUUAGAGGAAGUAAAAGUCGUAACAAGGUUUCCGUAGGUGAACCUGCGGAAGGAUCAUUA